rnacentral:rRNA from 1 species
GACGAACGCUGGCGGCGUGCUUAACACAUGCAAGUCGAACGGAAAGGCCCUGCUUUUGCGGCGUGCUCGAUUGGCGCACGGGUGAGUAACACGUGUGUAUCCUCCCCUUAUCUUAGUGGUAUCUCUUGGAAAAUGGGGCUCUAAUCGCGUAGAAUCUAUUGCUCCACGGUGGGGGAUGGAAAGUUUCGGCGGUUGGGGAUGGACUGGCGGGUUCUCGGCUUGUUGGGGGGGUUGUGGCUUACCAAGUGUUUGACGGGUAGCCGGCCUGGGAGGGUGACCGGCGACAUGAGGACUGAGGGAGGGCGCAGUAGGCAACGGUAGGCAACAGGGGGGAAUAUGGCACAAUGGGGGGAAGCCUGAGACAGCAACGCUGCGUGCGGGAUGACGUCCUACGGGGGAUAAACCGCUUUCGCCUGUGACGAGGCGUGAGUGACGGUAAUGGGUAAAGAAGCACCGGCUAACUACGUG